GACGAACGCUGGCGGCGUGCUUAACACAUGCAAGUGGAGCGACGAACCAGGGCUUGCCCUGGGGCAGAGCCGCGAACGGGUGAGUAACACGUGGGUUACCUGCCCCGAUGACCGGGACAACCCGAGGAAACUCGGGCUAAUACCGGAUGUGGUCUUCGGACGAAAGGAAGCUUCGGCCUCCGCAUCGGGAUGGGCCCGCGGCGCAUUAGCUUGUUGGUGGGGUAACGGCCUACCAAGGCGACGAUGCGUAGCUGGUCUGAGAGGACGAUCAGCCACACUGGGACUGAGACACGGCCCAGACUCCUACGGGAGGCAGCAGUGGGGAAUCUUGCGCAAUGCGCGAAAGCGUGACGCAGCAACGCCGCGUGAGGGAAGACGGCCUUCGGGUUGUAAACCUCUUUCAGUUGGGACGAAGCUUCUGCCGUUAAUAGCGGUAUGGAGUGACGGUACCUUCAGAAGAAGCCCCGGCUAACUACGUGCCAGCCGCCGCCGUAACAC
rnacentral:rRNA from 1 species